CGGAUGAGUAACGCUUGCUCCAUGAUUCAGCGGCGGACGGGUGAGUAAUGCCUAGGAAUCUGCCUGGUAGUGGGGGACAACGUUUCGAAAGGAACGCUAAUACCGCAUACGUCCUACGGGAGAAAGUGGGGGAUCUUCGGACCUCACGCUAUCAGAUGAGCCUAGGUCGGAAAAGCUAGUUGGUGAGGUAAAGGCUCACCAAGGCGACGAUCCGUAACUGGUCUGAGAGGAUGAUCAGUCACACUGGAACUGAGACACGGUCCAGACUCCUACGGGAGGCAGCAGUGGGGAAUAUUGGACAAUGGGCGAAAGCCUGAUCCAGCCAUGCCGCGUGUGUGAAGAAGGUCUUCGGAUUGUAAAGCACUUUAAGUUGGGAGGAAGGGCAGUAAGUUAAUACCUUGCUGUUUUGACGUUACCAACAGAAUAAGCACCGGCUAACUUCGUGCCAGCAGCCGCGGUAAUACGAAGGGUGCAAGCGUAAAUCGGAAUUACUGGGCGUAAAGCGCGCGUAGGUGGUUCGUUAAGUUGGAUGUGAAAGCCCCGGGCUCAACCUGGGAACUGCAUCCCCCACUGGCGAGCUAGAGUAUGGCAGAGGGUGGUGGAAUUUCCUGUGUAGCGGUGAAAUGCGUAGAUAUAGGAAGGAACACCAGUGGCGAAGGCGACCACCUGGGCUAAUACUGACACUGAGGUGCGAAAGCGUGGGGAGCAAACAGGCCUAGAUACCCUGGUAGUCCACGCCGUAAACGAUGUCGACUAGCCGUUGGGAUCCUGAGAUCUUAGUGGCGCAGCUAACGCAUUAAGUCGACCGCCUGGGGAGUACGGCCGCAAGGUUAAAACUCAAAUGAAUUGACGGGGGCCCGCACAAGCGGUGGAGCAUGUGGUUUAAUUCGAAGCAACGCGAAGAACCUUACCAGGCCUUGACAUGCAGAGAACUUUCCAGAGAUGGAUUGGUGCCUUCGGGAACUCUGACACAGGUGCUGCAUGGCUGUCGUCAGCUCUGUCGUGAGAUGUUGGGUUAAGUCCCGUAACGAGCGCAACCCUUGUCCUUAGUUACCAGCACGUUAAGGUGGGCACUCUAAGGAGACUGCCGGUGACAAACCGGAGGAAGGUGGGGAUGACGUCAAGUCAUCAUGGCCCUUACGGCCUGGGCUACACACGUGCAACAUGGUCGGUACAAAGGGUUGCCAAGCCGCGAGGGGGAGCUAAUCCCAUAAAACCGAUCGUAGUCCGGAUCGCAGUCUGCAACUCGACUGCGUGAAGUCG
rnacentral:rRNA from 2 species